AGUGAACGCUGGCGGUAGGCCUAACACAUGCAAGUCGAACGGCAGCACAGAGGAGCUUGCUCCUUGGGUGGCGAGUGGCGGACGGGUGAGGAAUACAUCGGAAUCUACUCUGUCGUGGGGGAUAACGUAGGGAAACUUACGCUAAUACCGCAUACGACCUACGGGUGAAAGCAGGGGAUCUUCGGACCUUGCGCGAUUGAAUGAGCCGAUGUCGGAUUAGCUAGUUGGCGGGGUAAAGGCCCACCAAGGCGACGGUCCGUAGCUGGUCUGAGAGGAUGAUCAGCCACACUGGAACUGAGACACGGUCCAGACUCCUACGGGAGGCAGCAGUAGGGAAUAUUGGACAAUGGGCGCAAGCCUGAUCCAGCCAUACCGCGUGGGUGAAGAAGGCCUUCGGGUUGUAAAGCCCUUUUGUUGGGAAAGAAAUCCAUCUGGUUAAUACCCGGGUGGGAUGACGGUACCCAAAGAAUAAGCACCGGCUAACUUCGUGCCAGCAGCCGCGGUAA
rnacentral:rRNA from 1 species